rnacentral:rRNA from 1 species
AGUAUUAGUUAAGGUCUUGAAACUCAAAGAAUUUGGCGGUGUUUUAGUCUAUUCAGAGGAAUCUGUUCCAUUAUUGAUAAUACACAAAUAUUUUACUUAUUCUUGUAGAUCAGUUUGUAUACCGCCGUUAUCAGAUUAUUUUUUUAGGAAAUAAAUAUUCUUGAAUUUUUAUUAAGAAGUAUAUCAGGUCAAGGUGCAGCUAAUGAAUAAGUGGAAAUGGAUUACAAUAAAAUUAUUUAUACGAAUUUGAUGUUGAAAUAUAAAUAUGAAGGUGGAUUUGAAAGUAAUGUUAUAAAUUGUGAUAAUUUGAUUUAAGCUCUAAAAGAUGU